rnacentral:rRNA from 1 species
AUUGAACGCUGGCGGUAUGCUUAACACAUGCAAGUCGAACGGCAGCACAGUAUGUAGCAAUACAUAUGGGUGGCGAGUGGCGGACGGGUGAGUAACGCGUAGGAAUCUACCCUAAAGCGGGGGACAACCCGAGGAAACUCGGGCUAAUACCGCAUAAUCUCGAAAGAGUAAAGCUGGGGCAACCUGGCACUUUAGGAGGAGCCUGCGUCCGAUUAGCUAGUUGGUGAGGUAAAGGCUCACCAAGGCGAUGAUCGGUAGCUGGUCUGAGAGGAUGAUCAGCCACACUGGGACUGAGACACGGCCCAGACUCCUACGGGAGGCAGCAGUGGGGAAUAUUGGACAAUGGGGGCAACCCUGAUCCAGCAAUACCGCGUGUGUGAAGAAGGCCUUAGGGUUGUAAAGCACUUUAGUUGGGGAAGAAGGAUAGUUGUUUAAGAGAUGAUUAUUUUGACGGUACCCAAAGAAUAAGCACCGGCUAACUCUGUGCCAGCCGCCGCCGUAA